rnacentral:rRNA from 1 species
GAUGAACGCUGGCGGCGUGCUUAACACAUGCAAGUCGAACGGGAAACCUUUUAUUGAAGCUUCGGCAGAUUUAACUGGUUUCUAGUGGCGGACGGGUGAGUAACGCGUGGGUAACCUGCCUUGUACAGGGGGAUAACAGUCAGAAAUGACUGCUAAUACCGCAUAAGCGCACAGGACCGCAUGGUCCGGUGUGAAAAACUCCGGUGGUAUAAGAUGGACCCGCGUUGGAUUAGCUUGUUGGUGGGGUAACGGCCCACCAAGGCGACGAUCCAUAGCCGGCCUGAGAGGGUGAACGGCCACAUUGGGACUGAGACACGGCCCAGACUCCUACGGGAGGCAGCAGUGGGGAAUAUUGCACAAUGGGGGAAACCCUGAUGCAGCGACGCCGCGUGAAGGAAGAAGUAUCUCGGUAUGUAAACUUCUAUCAGCAGGGAAGAAAAUGACGGUACCUGACUAAGAAGCCCCGG